rnacentral:misc_RNA from 1 species
GGAAAAUUUUAUAUUCAUUUUUUUCAGAAACAAGAGAAAAGCAAAAAUACAUGGUUCUAUAUUUUACCAGUCAUUAUUUUUAUAAAAAUUUUAACUUUUUAUUAAAAUUAUUUUUAAAACAAAAAAUUCAUGUCUCCUAAUCCUCCACCUCAAGAGAUGGCCAUUUCAGUCAAAAUGCCUGAUUUAACAGAAGAUGAGACGAAUUACUCAUCUGAGUCUAAUUCUGAACAAAAUUUAGCAGAUAUAACAAAUUUGCUCAUGACAACCUCAACAGGUUAUAAUGAAGGAAUCACAGAACCUAUUCAUCUAAUUAUGAACAAAAUUCUAAUUCUAAUUAACACAUAUAACACAUCUGGUCAUAGGAACAUCUACAGUUUCUAAUGAAGGAGUCACGAAAUUGUCUAUUGGAAUAGUGCAUUAGGAAUGAGAAUGCGGUUUUAGGCCACAUAUGUAGUAUGCUAGUUUGGAACUUCUUCAACUUGAGACGAUAGUGUUUUGAUUUACCAUCAGCAUCAACUAUAGAUGGCUUGACAAAUGUUCGGGUGGUCAAUUUUUGUACAAGAUCACCAAUAUCAAGGAAUCCAAUGAUAGGAAUUGUCCUAUCAGAAGCCAAAUAAAU